rnacentral:antisense_RNA from 1 species
ACCUCCGCGAGUUUUAUGACUUAAAAAACCCCACAGGCUGGUCUGAAGAGGAAGACAAACAUAAAGAUGAAGUGCUUAAUUCAAGGUCACACAAUGUCGGGGAUGGACCUCCAGAUUUCCUUACUGGUGAGACGUGGUCUUGUAACACAGUGGUUAAGAAUGUGACUUUGGAGCCAGCCUGCUAGGGGCUGAAUUCUGACUCAGCCAUUUACUAACUGUGUGACCUUAGGGAGGAGGACCUGGUUGAUAGAAGAAUUUAUCUCGUAGUCUUAACAUCCACUGUAAUUCCAAACUUUGAGGACGAUAGAGAUCAGUGGGCUUUGACUGCCCAGCAUGCAGUCUCCAUUCUUAGGUCACAGAAUUUUCCACACUCCUUGACGGAGGUGCUUAACCCUUAUCCAUCAGCAUUCUCAGACAGCACCUCCGGUUAGGGACAGUAUCUGACCGUCCGACAUCCCUGCAGCCCCCAUGUGUCACACAGACUCAGCCUCAGGUAGAUGGUUUCCGUAGAUGGUGGCUUUCUUUGGACCCUUGACAUCAACCAGUUACUAUUUGGGGACCAGAUGUGCAGAGGUAAUGAAUACCAGGGAAUCA